CCCUCUCGCUUGCGGAGUGCCGCGUGAAAUGUUCAGCUUCCGUCAACGAGAUGGCCUGUUUCCUUCGCCAUUCAUCCUCUCCGAAACCCUAAUUUUUUUGAAUAUUCUGGAUUUUCUUGUUACCCUAUAGUUGGUGGCGCCGCCCAAUUCUAAUGGCUGCUGCAAUAACCACUCCGGCGGCUAUUGUUUGUUCCCGCCGGCGUAAGGAUCAAAUAUUCAGUUACUCAGUAUCAAUCACCAGGGCUACGUUUUCUUUCGCUUUUGUUCCCUUUCACAAGUCGUCUUCUUCUAUAAACCUCUGUUCUUUUCUCGGCAAUUUCCGUCAGACCAGCGAUGAAUUGCUGACAAGCUUUGGUGCUAGAGGUUCUCAGUUUCUAUGUCCUGUAUCUUGCGAAGUUGACGGUCGCAAAGAGGGAGAUGCCAAGAAACAAAGGCUAGCAUAUGCCAGUAAAGUGAAAUCGGAUGAAUCAACCAAUAUGCAAGUAUUAGAUAUCCAAAAAUCAGUCUCAUCUGAACGGAGGAAGAUGUUGAAAAUGGAAAGAAAUCCCAAGCGUCUCAACAAUAGUGCAUCACAGAGGAACAAAAUUGAAUAUUACCAGGUCAUCCAAUAUCCUCUGAAAACUGAGUCUACUAUGGGGAAUAUAUUACGUCAUAAUACUUUGGUUUUUGUUGUUCACAAAGAUGCUGACAAGAAGAGCAUAAGGGAUGCUGUAAAGAAGCUGUUUAAGAUUGAAAUGAAGAAAGUAAAUACAUCAAUCAUGCCUGACGGGACGAAGAAAGCAUAUGUUAUGCUGACACCAAAUUAUAGUGCACUAGAUGUGGCAAAAAAAAUCAAAGCCAUUUAAAAGUUGAUUCUCCGUCUUCCUUUCCUUGCCAAGACAAUCUGGUGGCUAUAUAAGGUUUGUAACGUUGACGACAUGGAGCCAUUCUCAAUUGGACUGAUGUUUUUUUCUUUUAAUUCACUGCAAAUGCAAUAAUGCAGAGAUUAGUUGGGAAAAGAUAGUGACAUAUUGCAGACAUUUCCUAGUUCCUACCAACUACUGACAAAAGUGCAAGGCACAGUAAGUCCUUCGGCUCCUUAUCCUAAUUUUAUCAUUUUCCCAAAGAUCUCUCACUGAUUCUGCUUUAUGAAAAAUGAUCAUCCCUGGGUCCUGGUGGAUAUAGCUUGGAUGAUUGCCCUCUUAGCAAGGGCACAAUACAAUUCUUCCCUCUGAUUUUGUUUGUUUUCCUUUUUCCUUGCUGGAUAAGGGAAAGAAAGAACAAGUGGAGCCCCCGCUUUU